rnacentral:lncRNA from 1 species
UUGCUAACUGCUUGCUGGUUAUUGCUUGAUUCAAAGUCCAAAGGGAAAAUGGGUUUUCUAUAUGGAAUUCUUGUCUGUUGGAUUGCAUCCCAUUGGUCAUAACUUUUCAACUCUUAACUUUUAAUUUUAUGCUUAGGAUUAGUCUCUUCAUCUCCUCCCACUUCUUAAAUUUCAAAAACCUCUCCCCCAUUUUCAAAAACUUUCUUUGCUUGUGAUUUCAAAACUUAGAACUAUUUCA